UCCCAGACAUGAGCACAAACUGGAAGUAGAACUCAUUGAGAGCAGCUCUGAAAAGGAAGACUUGAGGGUUCUGGUGGGUGAAAGGCUUAACUUGAGCCAGAAGUGCACACUUACAGCUCAGGAGGCCAACUGCAUCCUGGGAUGCAUCAACAGAGGAACAGCCAGCAGGUCAAAGGAGGUGACUGUCCCCCUAUGCUCUGCCCUUGUGAUGCCCCACUUGGGGUGCUGCAUCCAGGACUGGGGCCCCCAGCACAAGAAGGAUGCGAAUCUGUUCAGGAAUAUGAUGGUCUCCCACAGAACCUGAACACAUAUUUGUGAUCUCUAAAAAAAAAAUGUCACUCAAUCUGACAGAACAGGGUACUGACAGGGAAGUGUGGCAUGCCUUUCCUUCAAAAUGAUAAAUCUAUAGAUGAAAAGGCAAGGAUAUUUCAUAUAAAUUGAUAUAUUGAUAUGUAUAUACAGACAAAGAAUGAUCUGAGCUGGAACCGCACAUACUUCUUUCAGUCUCACCUACUUUGCAUGUGUUUCUUCUAAAGUCCUCCACUUCAUGAGGACCCUUGCCACAAUGAAAGGAUCACUUCAUACAAAGGCUGGACAGCUUGUUUGUAAAUUACACAGUGUGCUGUCCUGUGCUCAGAGCAUAAUCCUGUAAGUCAGAAGAUGAAACUGUAAGAAUAACUUUUAUGGAAUAAUUUUCACACAGUAUGCUAACUCUGCCCCAGUAUUAUGACAGUACUUAACUGUAUGUACUUAUAGAUUACUAGGAGAGGACCAUCUCCAGAUACAGCAUGAAGACAAACACCUUACUUAGAGGUUUUAUAUUCUUAUAUAGGUUCUUCCCGUGAGAUAUGUUCAUUGGAUUCGUGUCAGUAUGGAACAGUGAUAGGGCCGCAUGGUAUGAUGAAUGUGACCUUCUGUCUUACAUACCCUUGUAUAACCGCAAGUCU